rnacentral:rRNA from 1 species
AUUGAACGCUGGCGGCAGGCCUAACACAUGCAAGUCGAACGAGUGGCGGACGGGUGAGUAAUGUCUGGGAAACUGCCCGAUGGAGGGGGAUAACUACUGGAAACGGUAGCUAAUACCGCAUACCAUCGGAGGUGCCCAGAUGGGAUUAGCUAGUAGGUGGGGUAACGGCUCACCUAGGCGACGAUGCCUAGCUGGUCUGAGAGGAUGACCAGCCACACUGGAACUGAGACACGGCCCAGACUCCUACGGGAGGCAGCAGUGGGGAAUAUUGGACAAUUGGCGAAAGCCUGAUGGAGCAAUGCCGCGUGUAUGAAGAAGGCCUUCGGGUCGUAAAGUUCUUUUAGCGAGGAGGCGUUACUCGCAGAAGAAGCAACGGCUAACUACGUGCCAGCAGCCGCGGUAAUAC